rnacentral:lncRNA from 1 species
UUGGCGCUUCAAUGUUUUGGCGGACGGAGUUGGUGGAGAUCAACUGAUUAGAAGGCUGGAGCAAUUGGGCCAAUAUGGGCUUAAAGUGGGUCAGAGGAAGAAGAUAAAGAAGGAUUGGCCCGUGGGAGUACAAUAACCAACUCUGAUACGAGUUGUGUUUGUAAAUAUUCAUUUUCGUUUAAAAUUAGAGAUAGAUCCUAGUCGGUUAGGAAAUUGGUCGUAAUAGGCUAUAAAUAGCCAUAUUUGGAGAUUUGUAAAAGAACACAUCAAUCAAUACAAACAAAUCUAUUUUUUUCAUCGCACUUUACUUUCAAGUCGGUGGCUUCGCCAAUACUUUUCUUCUUUCACGAGUUCGUACAGGUUGGCAAGGCUGAUCGACAUGAUCUUCGACCGAUUCUGUAAGUUAUGUUUAUCGAGUAAUAUCUAAGCUUUAACUUCGGGCGCAUCGCUGUUGUUUCAUUUAGAUUUAUUCACAAGUUAUCGAUAUUUACUAGAAUUACAGGUUCUAUCUGUUGUUCUAGUUUUAUCACAAGUUAUCGAGCUUGGGAUUUGAACUGUCGGCUUUGUUAUUGUUAUUUUCAUUCAUCGUUAUCAUAUAGCC